GUGCUCACUUCAGCAGCACGUAUACCAAAAUUGGAACAGUAAGAGAUUGGCAUGGCGCCUGUGAAAGGAUGACACACACAUUCAUGAAGCGUUCUAUAUUUUA
ensembl:snRNA RNU6-57P RNA, U6 small nuclear 57, pseudogene